rnacentral:rRNA from 1 species
UACGGGGGGAGCAAGCGUUGUUCGGAUUACUGGCGUAAAGGGCGCGUAGGCGGUCAGCACAAGUCAGUUGUGAAAUCUCCGGGCUUAACUCGGAAAGGUCAACUGAUACUGUGCGACUAGAGUGCAGAAGGGGCAACUGGAAUUCUCGGUGUAGCGGUGAAAUGCGUAGAUAUCGAGAGGAACACCUGCGGCGAAGGCGGGUUGCUGGGCUGACACUGACGCUGAUGCGCGAAAGCCAGGGAGCGAAGCGGG